AUGCACGCUGGCGGCGUGCCUCAUCCAUGCCAGUCGAGCGCACAGAUGAGGAGCUUGCUCCUCUGACGUUAGCGGCGGACGGGUGAGUAACACGUGGAUAACCUACCUAUAAGACUGGGAUAACUUCGGGAAACCGGAGCUAAUACCGGAUAAUAUAUUGAACCGCAUGGUUCAAUAGUGAAAGACGGUUUUGCUGUCACUUAUAGAUGGAUCCGCGCCGCAUUAGCUAGUUGGUAAGGUAACGGCUUACCAAGGCAACGAUGCGUAGCCGACCUGAGAGGGUGAUCGGCCACACUGGAACUGAGACACGGUCCAGACUCCUACGGGAGGCAGCAGUAGGGAAUCUUCCGCAAUGGGCGAAAGCCUGACGGAGCAACGCCGCGUGAGUGAUGAAGGUCUUCGGAUCGUAAAACUCUGUUAUUAGGGAAGAACAAAUGUGUAAGUAACUAUGCACGUCUUGACGGUACCUAAUCAGAAAGCCACGGCUAACUACGUG
rnacentral:rRNA from 1 species